AGUGGUAGAGUGCUCCUGGGUUCAAAAUAGGUAGUGAAGUCUAAGAGUGAAAUGGGGAUGUGGCCCAGUGGUAGAACAUUUGCUCAGAACAACAGUCAUAAACCUGGAUUUCGACAGGCAAUCCUGGUUGUCUGGUUUCCUGCCAAGAUAAUUCCUGAGCUUCAAUUACUUGACCUGAAAAGGUGGAUGUGAACAUAGUGUCCUAAGAAAGAAGGAACACUCUGAAAUAACUAGGAAAAGACAAACACUUGAACAGAUUUUGUGGAAGUGGUAAUUGUAUGAAGAAAGGAAAAAUUAAGUAGCAAUUUUUGAACUGAUGAUGUCAUUUCAGGCCUAUCAUAGGAAUAGUUUGUCAGUGUGUGUGUUCAGGAAAGGGAGUGAAUUGUCUUUUUAUUUGCUAUACUGGGGAUUGAAGCCAGGGAUACUCUGUCACUAAGCUUCAUCCUCAGCUCUUUAUUUUUUUAUACCUUUAUUUUACUUAUUUAUGUGGUGCUGAGGAUCGAACCCAGUGCCCCACACAUGCAAGGCAAGCGCUUUACCACUGAGCCACUACCCCAGCCCAUCAGCUUUUUAUUUUUUAUUUUGAUACAGGGUCUCACUAAAUUGUCAAGGUUAGCCUCCUCCCUCAGCCUCCUGAAUUGCUGGGAUUACAGGCAAGCACCUGGGUGUGUGUUUGUUUGUUUCUAAUAUUUAUUUUUUAGUUGUAGCUGGACACAAUACCUUUAUUUAUUUUUUGUGUGGUGCUGAGGAUCAAACCCAAUGCCUCACACGUGCUAGGCGAACGCUCUACCGCCGAGCCACAACCCCAACCCUGAGUUUUUUCCUUUUUGAACAGUGAAGGAAGGUUUAUUUUUGGCCAGGAAUAGGAGUAGCAGGGAGAAAGGCUCAUAGAUCAGUUUCUCUGUGAAUUGUCUUUGAUGAGGUUUGCCA
rnacentral:lncRNA from 1 species